rnacentral:rRNA from 1 species
GAUGAACGCUGGCGGCGUGCCUAAUACAUGCAAGUCGAGCGAACGGACGAGAAGCUUGCUUUUCUGAUGUUAGCGGCGGACGGGUGAGUAACACGUGGAUAACCUACCUAUAAGACUGGGAUAACUUCGGGAAACCGGAGCUAAUACCGGAUAAUAUUUUGAACCGCAUGGUUCAAAAGUGAAAGACGGUCUUGCUGUCACUUAUAGAUGGAUCCGCGCUGCAUUAGCUAGUUGGUAAGGUAACGGCUUACCAAGGCAACGAUGCAUAGCCGACCUGAGAGGGUGAUCGCCCACACGGGAACUGAGCCACAGUCCAGGCUCCUACGGGAGGCAGCAGUAGGGAAUCUUCCGCAAUGGGCGAAAGCCUGACGGAGCAACGCCGCGUGAGUGAUGAAGGUCUUCGGAUCGUAAAACUCUGUUAUUAGGGAAGAACAUAUGUGUAAGUAACUGUGCACAUCUUGACGGUACCUAAUCAGAAAGCCACGGCUAACUACGUG